CAGCAGCCGCGGUAAUACGGAGGGUGCGAGCGUUAAUCGGAAUUACUGGGCGUAAAGCGUGCGCAGGCGGUUUGUUAAGACAGAUGUGAAAUCCCCGGGCUCAACCUGGGAACUGCAUUUGUGACUGGCAAGCUAGAGUCUGGCAGAGGGGGGUGGAAUUCCGCGUGUAGCAGUGAAAUGCGUAGAUGUGCGGAGGAACACCGAUGGCGAAGGCAGCCCCCUGGGCCAACACUGACGCUCAUGCACGAAAGCGUGGGGAGCAAACAGGAUUAGAUACCCCCGUAGUCCCUGUCUCUUAUAA
rnacentral:rRNA from 1 species